rnacentral:rRNA from 1 species
AUUGAACGCUGGCGGCAUGCCUUACACAUGCAAGUCGAACGGUAACGGGCUUUCGGGUGCCGACGAGUGGCGAACGGGUGAGUAAUACAUCGGAACGUGCCCGAUCGUGGGGGAUAACGAGGCGAAAGCUUUGCUAAUACCGCAUACGAUCUACGGAUGAAAGCAGGGGACCGCAAGGCCUUGCGCGGACGGAGCGGCCGAUGGCAGAUUAGGUAGUUGGUGGGAUAAAAGCUUACCAAGCCGACGAUCUGUAGCUGGUCUGAGAGGAUGAUCAGCCACACUGGGACUGAGACACGGCCCAGACUCCUACGGGAGGCAGCAGUGGGGAAUUUUGGACAAUGGGCGCAAGCCUGAUCCAGCCAUGCCGCGUGCAGGAUGAAGGCCUUCGGGUUGUAAACUGCUUUUGUACGGAACGAAAAGCCUUCUUCUAAUACAGGAGGGUCAUGACGGUACCGUAAGAAUAAGCACCGGCUAACUACGUGCCAGCAGCCGCAGUAA